rnacentral:miRNA from 1 species
AUACCAAAACUCUCUCACUUU